rnacentral:rRNA from 1 species
UACGGAGGGUGCAAGCGUUAUCCGGAUUCACUGGGUUUAAAGGGUGCGUAGGUGGGUUGGUAAGUCAGUGGUGAAAUCUCCGGGCUUAACUCGGAAACUGCCGUUGAUACUAUCAAUCUUGAAUAUCGCGUAGGUAAGCGGAAUAAUGUCAUGUAGCGGUGAAAUGCUUAGAUAAUGACAUAGAACACCAAUUGCGAAGGCAGCUUACUUACACGAUCAUUGACACUGAGGCACGAAAGCGUGGGGAGCAAACAGGA